rnacentral:rRNA from 1 species
AUUGAACGCUGGCGGCAGGCCUAACACAUGCAAGUCGAGCGGAUGAGUGGAGCUUGCUCCAUGAUUCAGCGGCGGACGGGUGAGUAAUGCCUAGGAAUCUGCCUGGUAGUGGGGGACAACGUUUCGAAAGGAACGCUAAUACCGCAUACGUCCUACGGGAGAAAGCAGGGGACCUUCGGGCCUUGCGCUAUCAGAUGAGCCUAGGUCGGAUUAGCUAGUAGGUGAGGUAAUGGCUCACCUAGGCGACGAUCCGUAACUGGUCUGAGAGGAUGAUCAGUCACACUGGAACUGAGACACGGUCCAGACUCCUACGGGAGGCAGCAGUGGGGGAAUAUUGGACAAUGGGCG